rnacentral:lncRNA from 1 species
CAUAAUGAACGCUUCCUAAAAUAUUAUAUAAGAUGCGACUAAGAUCGAUACAUAGGUUACCAGUUCAUAUCAUAUACAUGUUACUUGUUCGCUCAUAUAUUUUUCACUUUGAUAUUUGACUCAUAUGAGUUUCUGUACUUGUCUAGUUGUUAUUCUAUCUCCUUCCAUACCAGUACAUGUUGUUUAUUUUGUCUACUUUUAUGUCAGUACAUGUUUUUAUGUAAUGAC